UCGAGAAUUUUUCUCAAUGGGGGAAACCCUGAAGGAGCGACGCCGCGUGGGGGAUGAAUGGCUUCGGCCCGUAAACCCCUGUCAUUUGUGAACAAAUUGGCUCACUUAACACGUGUGUCAUUGAUAGUAGCGAAAGAGGAAGGGACGGCUAACUCUGUGCCAGCAGCCGCGGUAAUACAGAGGUCCCAAGCGUUGUUCGGAUUCACUGGGCGUAAAGGGUGCGUAGGCGGUUGGGUAAGUCUGACGUGAAAUCUCCAAGCUUAACUUGGAAACUGCGUUGGAUACUAUCCAGCUAGAGGAAUGGAGGGGAGACUGGAAUACUUGGUGUAGCAGUGAAAUGCGUAGAUAUCAAGUGGAACACCAGUGGCGAAGGCGAGUCUCUGGACAUUUCCUGACGCUGAGGCACGAAAGCCAGGGGAGCAAACGGGAUUAGAUACCCCCGUAGUCC
rnacentral:rRNA from 1 species